rnacentral:rRNA from 1 species
GAUGAACGCUGGCGGCGUGCCUAAUACAUGCAAGUCGAGCGAACAGACGAGGAGCUUGCUCCUCUGACGUUAGCGGCGGACGGGUGAGUAACACGUGGAUAACCUACCUAUAAGACUGGGAUAACUUCGGGAAACCGGAGCUAAUACCGGAUAAUAUAUUGAACCGCAUGGUUCAAUAGUGAAAGACGGUUUUGCUGUCACUUAUAGAUGGAUCCGCGCCGCAUUAGCUAGUUGGUAAGGUAACGGCUUACCAAGGCAACGAUGCGUAGCCGACCUGAGAGGGUGAUCGGCCACACUGGAACUGAGACACGGUCCAGACCCCUACGGGAGGCAGCAGUCGGGAAUCCUCCGCAAUGGGAGAAAGCCUGACGGAGCAACGCCGCGUGAGUGAUGAAGGUCUUCGGAUCGUAAAACUCUGUUAUUAGGGAAGAACAAAUGUGUAAGUAACUAUGCACGUCUUGACGGUACCUAAUCAGAAAGCCACGGCUAACUACGUG